UUGACGGGGGCCCGCACAAGCGGAGGAGCAUGUGGUUUAAUUCGAUGAUACGCGAGGAACCUUACCUGGGCUCGAACGUAAGAUGACUGUAGGUGAAAGCUUACAUCUCUUCGGAGCAUUUUACGAGGUGCUGCAUGGUUGUCGUCAGCUCGUGCCGUGAGGUGUCGGGUUAAGUCCCAUAACGAGCGCAACCCCUACCUUUAGUUGCCAUCAGGUAAUGCUGGGGACUCUAAAGGAACUGCCUACGCAAGUAGUGAGGAAGGUGGGGAUGACGUCAAGUCAUCAUGGCCCUUACGGCCUGGGCUACACACGUGCUACAAUGGUCGGUACAAAGGGUUGCCAAGCCGCGAGGUGGAGCUAAUCCCAUAAAACCGAUCGUAGUCCGGAUCGCAGUCUGCAACUCGACUGCGUGAAGUCGGAAUCGCUAGUAAUCGUGAAUCAGAAUGUCACGGUGAAUACGUUCCCGGGCCUU
rnacentral:rRNA from 1 species